UCGGAUUGGAAACUACCUGUGUGAAUAAUUGCUACCAUGAUAUCUUUUUGCAGGAAAGGUCAUGUUUUGGUGGAUCAACACUCCAAACCACAUCAUCCAUCUGGUCUUCCACUGACAGAUAUGGAACUACUAGAAGUACUCCAAGGUCCUCUAGAGGAUGGCUGCUCCAGCCUGCCACACCCCGAAUGGUGACCAUCACCCAGAGGAUUUUUUCAUUGACUAGCCGAAGACUGUGGAAUAACUUGCUGGAACAGCUCUGACAGCUAAAUGAGCUUUUGGAAUGUAAAAUACAUCUGAA
rnacentral:lncRNA from 11 species